rnacentral:pre_miRNA from 7 species
GUACACAGCCAUCUUUGGAUAGCUUCAGUGAACAUUCAACGCUGUCGGUGAGUUUGAGAACUAAGAAAAACCAUCGACCGUUGACUGUACCUUGAGGUUUAUCACAAACCCUCUGUUAAAC